UACAGAGGUGGCAAGCGUUGUUCGGAAUUACUGGGCGUAAAGGGCGCGUAGGCGGCCUUCUAAGUCAGACGUGAAAUCCCCCGGCUUAACCUGGGAACUGCGUCUGAUACUGGAUGGCUUGAGAUUGGGAGAGGGAUGCGGAAUUCCAGGUGUAGCGGUGAAAUGCGUAGAUAUCUGGAGGAACACCGGUGGCGAAGGCGGCAUCCUGGACCAACACUGACGCUGAUGAGCGAAAGCCAGGGGAGCAAACGGG
rnacentral:rRNA from 1 species